UCCGUAGGGUGCAAGCGUUGUCCGGAAUUAUUGGGCGUAAAGAGCUCGUAGGCGGUCUGUCGCGUCUGCUGUGAAAACUCAGGGCUUAACCCUGAGCUUGCAGUGGGUACGGGCAGACUAGAGUGCGGUAGGGGAGACUGGAAUUCCUGGUGUAGCGGUGAAAUGCGCAGAUAUCAGGAGGAACACCGGUGGCGAAGGCGGGUCUCUGGGCCGUAACUGACGCUGAGACGCGAAAGCGUGGGGAGCGAACAGG
rnacentral:rRNA from 1 species